GUGGGGAAUAUUGGGCAAUGGGGGAAACCCUGACCCAGCAACGCCGCGUGAAGGAAGAAGGUUUUCGGAUCGUAAACUUCUAUCCUUGGUGAAGAUAAUGACGGUAGCCGAGAAGGAAGCCCCGGCUAACUACGUGCCAGCAGCCGCGGUAAUACGUAGGGGGCAAGCGUUGUCCGGAAUGAUUGGGCGUAAAGGGCGCGUAGGCGGCCUGGUAAGUCUGGAGUGAAAGUCCUGCUUUUAAGGUGGGAAUUGCUUUGGAUACUGUCGGGCUUGAGUGCAGGAGAGGUAAGUGGAAUUCCCGGUGUAGCGGUGAAAUGCGUAGAGAUCGGGAGGAACACCAGUGGCGAAGGCGACUUACUGGACUGUAACUGACGCUGAGGCGCGAAAGUGUGGGGAGCAAACAGGAUUAGAUACCCUAGUAGUCC
rnacentral:rRNA from 1 species